rnacentral:pre_miRNA from 1 species
AGCCCUCUGUAUCCGUGCUGAGAUUUCGUCAACGUUCAACCCGUUAAGGCUGAUGUAAUUCCCCAAAUAAGUGAAGCG